UGAGCUUACGUACAGCACAAACAUUUGCUCACUAUAAACAAUUCACCUAUGUAGGUUGCUUGGCAAGAAGUUACAGAAUUAUUUUCUUUGGACUACAAGAAGCA